rnacentral:rRNA from 1 species
GGUUUUUAGAAGUUAUUAAAAAUCUGACCUGCUCAAUGCUUAGUAAAUAGCCGCAGUAUUUUGACUGUGCAAAGGUAGCAUAAUCAUUUGUCUUUUAAUUUAGGACUAGAAUGAAAGGUUUAACUACGUGUUUUUGUCUUAUAGUAAUAUUUUGAAAUUUAUUUUUUAGUAAAAAAGCUAAAAUUGAUUAUUGGGACAAGAAGACCCUAUCAAGUUUUACAAUAAAUAAUUUAUUUUCAAAUUAAAUUUAAAAUUGUUUUGCUGGGGCAGCAAAUAAAAAGUUUUUAUUUAAAAAUUAUGAUAAAUAAGUCUUGAAAAACCAAAAAUUUUUUAAUUAAAAAUAAAUUACUGUAGGGAUAACAGCAUAAUUUUUUUUAAGAGUUCUUAUCAUCAAAAAAGUUUGUGACCUCGAUGUUGGAUUAAAAUUUCUAAUUCACGCAAUAGUGAAAUAAGAAAGUCUGUUCGACUUUUAAAAUUUUCCA